AGGCUGGAGUGCAGUGGUGUGAUCUUGGCUCUCUGGGUAUAUGAGUAUCUGCGCUCGCCUGCUAGAACCUCCAAACAAGCUCUCAAGGUCCAUUUGUAGGAGAACGUAGGGUAGUCAAGCUUCCAAGACUCCAGACACAUCCAAA